AGGCCCAGGCUGGAUCCAACUUCUCCCUCAUAGGAUCAUAGUUUCUGGGACCCCACCUUGAGGAGCCAGGAUGAAAUAUGAAUCAUUCGCUACCUCUGACCAGGCAACAAGCACGCUCACAGGAAAGCUCAUUGUGAGCCAGCAAGAGGCAUCUAAAUGUCACAGAUGAGGCUCGUGAUGGGGACUCGAAAGGUGGCCAGCAAGCCUUCCCUGGAGACCAAAGCCAUCCUCGCCGCAGUCCCUGCCUGCCCCACCGCGGGAGGCUGCCAGGGCUCCUGUUCACCCGAGACGCCUCGCCACCUGCUGGGACGCGCAGCACGGAGGGAGCAGACCACAGGCUCCGCUGCUAGAGUUGCCCCCGCUCACGGGGCACCGGGAGCCCAUGCGUCUCCCUGAGCUGAAACGUAUGGACUUCAGCAGGACCGAGGCCGGGCUUCCUCCCUGCGUUUUUGGGGGGCCUCGUGAAGCACACGCCUGGGAUUUCUCUCUGCUCCCUGGGUGCUCAUCCUGUGUGGGAGCAAGGUGAAGUCUUGGUGUUGAACGUGGUUCUAGAUCCGGGUUUGAAUCCGGAACGCAGGCGCGCCGGCCCACCUCGAGGCAGGCACCCUCCACAUCAUGAUGUCAGCCUGUGUCCUGCAAGCGGAGGGCCAGGAUGCGAAGUCUGCAGGGCCCCGACUACACGUCACAGCCCCCAGCGAGAAGGCCACAGUGAGAAUCCGGGGCGAGGCUUCCUUUUUCUGCCAUAUAUGUCAUUGCUGCUAUCUACUCGCUCAGAAGGUUCUGGAACCUGUGACUUGCUGAGAGUGGACACAAAGGUCCGACCUGACCAUGCUGUGAGCCCUCUGAAGGCUGUCUUAUAGAUCUCUCUAUCUCUGCCACCACACCAAGCACCCAAUUCAGCAGACGUCCCCAAAAUAUAUUGGAUAAAGAGCCUUUCAGGAAAGUGAGUUUUAUGUUAUGUCUAAAUCCACAUGUCAGAAAGUGGAGCCAAUCCCGGAAACCAAGACACGCCUUUGGAUAAUACGAGGAACUGGCUUUUGGUUUGUCAGGUUUUGUGCUUUGCAGCCGGAGGGUGGCAGUGCUAGAGGGCAUCGAGGCGCUGUGGGAGGUCAACCCAAAACAGCACCAACCCCCCGGACAAUUGUGAGUUUACCAAGAGACCAGAGACCGGCUGAGAGAGCAGAGUGGGGUCAGAGGGCACAAGAUGGAACAGGGUUCUGGAGGGCACAGUGGCCGUGGGCAGACUUGGAGUGGCCACCAGUGCACCUGCCGCUGUGGCUUCCAGGCCUAUGGCCACGUGUGUGGUCUGAAGAGGGGGACAGUGCCAGCCACUUCAGCCACCUUUCCUGUUAGCAGGUGUGGCAACCACGCCAUGACUCAAGCUACUUGACCUCAGAGUAACACACCAGAAUAAGUAUAAGGUCCCCCUUUCCUGCACUGGGUGCAAAAUUGAGGACUGUCUGGAGCCUUCUUGGGGGGCACUGGAGCCUGCCCAGAAAGCAUGCCAAUCCUGGGAAAUAGUUUUCAGAAACAGCAUAGUCCCUUCUCAGCUAGUAACAGAUCCUGUUACCAGGAAGCUGUCCUGUGAAUUCUCACUUCGGAAGAUCAGUGUGUAGAAAAGAAAGAGGCAAUAAGCCUCCCUUCACACAAGGACAGGGAGCAAAGCUGGCCAAGGCUGUCCUUCCUGUAGACGUUGUUGCCUGCGGAGGGAGCCUGGAAGGAGAUGGACACUUGGGUCUGCACCAGGCUCCGGCCCUGCCCAGCAGCAAGAAUUUAAGUGCUAACUUGCUGUGUCUCGGUCUUCCCAUUAAGACUAUUACAGCCCUCAUUUCACUGCUUUCAGAACUCCUGUGUGUUGGGGGACCAGAUGAUGGGGUCAGGUCUCCGGGCUGCACCCCUCGUGGCUGGGGCUGGAUCCUGCCGGGGUCAGCGCUGGGCCGAGUCCAGCUCUGAACAGCUGUAGAGAGUAAAUCCACCUUUUGGGGUCAGGGCACCUGAGGCUUCCCGGGUGGGAUGGAAAUCUGCUUAGCUCCAUAAACACCUCGUCCACCCCCCAGGAAACAGCAGAAAGCUUGGCGUGAAGAGCGCAG